UACAGAGGUCCCAAGCGUUGUUCGGAUUCACUGGGCGUAAAGGGUGCGUAGGCGGUCGGGUAAGUCUGACGUGAAAUCUUCAAGCUCAACUUGGAAACUGCGUCGGAUACUAUUCGGCUAGAGGAAUGGAGGGGAGACUGGAAUACUUGGUGUAGCAGUGAAAUGCGUAGAUAUCAAGUGGAACACCAGUGGCGAAGGCGAGUCUCUGGCCAUUCCCUGACGCUGAGGCACGAAAGCCAGGGGAUCAAACGGG
rnacentral:rRNA from 1 species